rnacentral:tRNA from 1 species
AGGUGUAGCUCAGUAGUAGAGCACUUGUUUAACAUGCAUGAGGUCCUGAGUUCAAUUCCCAGCACCU